rnacentral:rRNA from 1 species
GACGAACGCUGGCGGCGUGCUUAACACAUGCAAGUCGAGCGGUAAGGCUCCUUCGGGAGUACACGAGCGGCGAACGGGUGAGUAACACGUGAGCAAUCUGCCCAUCACAUCGGGAUAACUUCGGGAAACCGAAGCUAAUACCGAAUACAACCACUUCGGGCAUCUGACGGUGGUGGAAAGUUCCGGCGGUGAUGGAUGAGCUCGCGGCCUAUCAGCUUGUUGGUGGGGUAAUGGCCCACCAAGGCUUCGACGGGUAGCCGGCCUGAGAGGGUGACCGGCCACACUGGGACUGAGACACGGCCCAGACUCCUACGGGAGGCAGCAGUGGGGAAUAUUGGACAAUGGGCGAAAGCCUGAUCCAGCAACGCCGCGUGAGGGAUGACGGCCUUCGGGUUGUAAACCUCUUUCAGCGCCGACGAAGCGAAAGUGACGGUAGGCGCAGAAGAAGCACCGGCCAACUACGUGCCAGCAGCCGCCGUAAAAC